UACGUAGGGUGCGAGCGUUAAUCGGAAUUACUGGGCGUAAAGCGUGCGCAGGCGGUUUUGUAAGUCAGAUGUGAAAUCCCCGGGCUCAACCUGGGAAUGGCAUUUGGGACUGCAAGGCUUGAGUGCGGCAGAGGAGACUGGAAUUCCUGGUGUAGCAGUGAAAUGCGUAGAUAUCAGGAGGAAUACCGAUGGCGAAGGCAGGUCUCUGGGCUGACACUGACGCUCAUGCACGAAAGCGUGGGGAGCAAACAGG
rnacentral:rRNA from 1 species